rnacentral:rRNA from 1 species
GGGAACCUGGCGUGCUUUAACGUGCAAAACGAGCGAUGAGAUCACUUCGGUGAAGGAUUAGCGGCGAACGGGUGAGGAACACGUGAAGAAUCUGCCUUCAACUCUGGGAUAACUCCGGGAAACCGGGGCUAAUACCGGAUAUGAGCCUUGAUCGCAUGAUCGGGGCUGGAAAGUUUUUCGGUUGAAGAUGACUUCGCGGCCUAUCAGCUUGUUGGUGAGGUAAUGGCUCACCAAGGCGACGACGGGUAGCCGGCCUGAGAGGGCGACCGGCCACACUGGGACUGAGACACGGCCCAGACUCCUACGGGAGGCAGCAGUGGGGAAUAUUGGGCAAUGGAGGAAACUCUGACCCAGCGACGCCGCGUGCGGGAUGAAGGCCUUCGGGUUGUAAACCGCUU